AUUGUACGCUGGCGGAAUGCUUUACACAUGCAAGUCGAACGGCAGCACGGGGGCAACCCUGGUGGCGAGUGGCGAACGGGUGAGUAAUACAUCGGAACGUGCCCGGUCGUGGGGGAUAACGUAGCGAAAGUUACGCUAAUACCGCAUACGAUCUGAGGAUGAAAGCGGGGGACCUUCGGGCCUCGCGCGAUCGGAGCGGCCGAUGUCAGAUUAGGUAGUUGGUGGGGUAAAGGCCUACCAAGCCGACGAUCUGUAGCUGGUCUGAGAGGACGACCAGCCACACUGGGACUGAGACACGGCCCAGACUCCUACGGGAGGCAGCAGUGGGGAAUUUUGGACAAUGGGCGCAAGCCUGAUCCAGCCAUUCCGCGUGCAGGACGAAGGCCUUCGGGUUGUAAACUGCUUUUGUAUGGAACGAAAAGGCUCUGGCUAAUACCUGGGGCUCAUGACGGUACCGUAAGAAUAAGCACCGGCUAACUACGUG
rnacentral:rRNA from 1 species